rnacentral:rRNA from 1 species
UACGUAGGUGGCGAGCGUUGUCCGGAAUUACUGGGUGUAAAGCGCGUGUAGGCGGCAGGCCAAGUCGGUGGUGAAAGCGCCCGGCUCAACUGGGCGGGGUCAGCGGAUACGGUGUGGCUCGAGCAAGCUAGGGGGCAAUGGAAUUCCCGGUGUAGUGGUGGAAUGCGUAGAUAUCGGGGAGGAACACCAGUGGCGAAGGCGGUUGCCUGGAGCUUUGCUGACGCUGAGGCGCGAAAGCGUGGGGAGCGAUCCGG